rnacentral:rRNA from 1 species
AAUGAGCGCUGGCGGCGUGCCUAACACAUGCAAGUCGAAUGUGCCGCAAGGUGCAUGGCAGACGGGUGAGUAACGCGUGGGCAAUCUACCUUUUCGUGGGGAAUAACGAUCCGAAAGGAUUGGUAAUACCGCAUGAGACCAAUGGCUGGGAUGCUGUUGGUGAAACCUGGGGACCGCAAGGCCUGGGGCGAGAAGAGGAGCCUGCGUCUGAUUAGCUAGUUGGCGGGGUAACGGCCCACCAAGGCGACGAUCAGUAGCCGGCCUGAGAGGGUGAUCGGCCACACUGGAACUGAGACACGGUCCAGACUCCUACGGGAGGCAGCAGUGGGGAAUUUUGCGCAGUGGACGAAAGUCUGACGCAGCAACGCCGCGUGGGUGAUGAAGGUCUUCGGAUUGUAAAACCCUGUCGUCGAGGACGAAGGUCGGGGCGUUAAUAGCGCUUUGGCUUGACGGUACUCGGAGAGGAAGCCCCGGCUAACUCUGUGCCAGCAG